GCCCACCAUGCACUGGCCUAGGGGCUACUUUAAGGGAUAUCCGAGGUGACGGUUUCCCUUGCACUAGGCUGAACCUAUAGUAUAGAAAUAUUAUCUAUUUUAUUACCUUGAAUAUUUAAUAUUUUUCACUGGGAGGUUUGAAGCUUACAAAUUGCAAACUGAACGUGCCAUGCAUGAAGCGAAGGGUUCCAGGCUCAAGAGGAGAUCACCUCGACUCCAUGUCAUCGAGGCACCUGUCUCAGCUAAGACUCAGUUUCUCUUUCUGAGGUCGGUGUUAUUUCCUCUUCCCACAUCAUCCUUCUCCUCUGACACUGACGCCCACCGUGCACAUGGCUGAGGGAGAGCCAGCUGGUUGGUGGUGUUGCUGUUGCCACGGCCCCGGGGGUUAAACCUCUUCCUCCCAGGAGCAGGACUAAUGCGCUGGGAAGGCCGGGUGUGUACAAGCAAAGGGCUCCCUCCCACCAGUCCCAUCGCCUUCCUGCGCAGCCAUCAUCAUCAAAGCCACAGGUCCGGGGAGCACACAAGCUAGUCAAAGGCUUCUCCCUGGGACAGCUCUUAGGAAAAGAGGCAAACCCAUACCCAAAGUACCUUGUUUUCCUUGGGGAAGAUACGUGGAGCUGUCCACAGAGAGCCUGCCCACUGGAUUGCUACCGCCGUGUGGUGUUUUCAUACAAACGUACGUUUUGAGAGAGAAGUCAAAGGUGCUUCAGCCUUGUACUGUGUAUAUAUUAAAAAAAAAAAACAAAAGUUUUGUAUGUUUUUAUUACUUUAAUUAUUGUUAUAAAAAGCCUGCCAUUUUUAAUAUGUGGUUUGGGGAAUUUUUGUUUGUUUUUCCUGUUUGGGGGUUUCCUUUGUUUUUUGUUUUUUUUCUGGAUUUAAAAAAAAAAAAAACAAAACCUUGCUUUUAGUGUUUGUACUGCUGCUGGUCAGAAUGUUAAAACGCUGAAGUUCUAGGAAAUAGGAGAGCUCGCCUGUGCAGCAUUCCACACAGCAGGGCUAAGGGGGCACCUAGGUCUGGUCAGCUGUCCAGGGCAUGGUGACCCAUGAGCAGCAGGAACUUGGCACAGCUCUGGCAGCUGAGCUCCUGAGACAGGCACAGCUCUGGCAGAGAGCUCCACACUGGGGGAUCUCCCUUCCCAGUUUCAAGUCCUCAGUCAGGGCUGACCAACUUGAAAGAGAUCCUCUUCCUGCCAGAGCCUGUGACUAUCCUCCAUCACGGGGGGGGGGGGGAGAGGAGGCAGAGCCUACCCUUGGCCACCAGGCUCAAUGGCUGUACAGAGCAGCUGCCUUGCAGUCUGUCCCCACCCUGCUCUACCCCCAACCCCUUGCUCUGCCUGCCAAGAGUCUUCUAGACAAGGAAGUGCCACCAGUACUGUCAGCAGUCAACAAAGCACCUUCCUCUGCCUACAGCCAGUCAGAGAUGGUCCAAAGGAGAGCAGAGGCUGCACACCCUGGGCAAAGCACUGCCCAGUUUUCCAGUUAAGUGCUGCGUGCGCUCAGUGUUCCUUUCCCAGGCUAAGAACACACCGAUGACUGGAAGCUUUUGCUAAUCUGCUUGGCAAUGGCUUCUGGGAAAGGUAGGACCCAUAACUUAAGACAUGCACAGUCUCUCCCACCGUCCCACAGGAGUUCCCCUGGCUGAGUAUACGAUCCAAAGCAAGCCAUGCCCUCCCAGGUCAGUCUGGGGCACAAGCUGAGCCGAUGACUAGCAAUGCCUAUGGCCUUUCCCUUGCCUGCCCUCCUCCAGCAUCUCCGCCUGUGGAGACCGAGUACCCCCGUGCUCAUACGUAAAGUGACAAUCAGAACCAGGUACAAGCCAGGAAAGUGGCAGCUGACUGCCACUCAGACCACGUGGCGCUUUUCCCAUCCCACGGUCUCAGAGCUGGACGAGGCUAAAUAGAACACAGUAGCCCCCCCUUCCAGGUACUGCACCGUCCCUGGAGAUCCCUCUGACCCUUCCCUGCUACAGAUCUGCUCUGCUCUAGGCUGGACUGUGGAAUUAGCAUGUACAUGGAAAUCCCAGUCCUUGACCAUGGCUUCCCACUCCACCUGCAAGUGAUAGAUGCCAUCUGUCCUGGGUGUCUGAUCAGACCCGCCACCAUCACAGAUGAGUGACCAAGAGGGGGGCUGUCAACACCUCGGUACAUGGUGAUCUUAAAACCACCCAACUGCACCAUCGCACCAGACUGUACCUCUGGGGCACCCAGAACAAGCCCCACCCUAACAGUGGGGGCCACAGCCAGGCUUCCAGCACUGAGUCUCAACCAGCUAAGUUGAAUGGCAAACUCGAUGCCUCCGCCCCCACCCCUCAGCUGCCCAGGCCCCAGCAUGCAGAUGGCCUGCACAGCAGGCUCAGCACCUCUGAGGUGUGCAUUAGCCACUUAACAGCAGCAGUCUGUACUCAAGUACAAAAGCUUUUACUUCACGACUUGCCGUAGCCUGUCCCCACUGUCUGAUCCAGUGCUUAACUUCAACCCUAGAGUCUGCCUUGACCCUGAGGAGGCAUCUCACUGGUUUCGUACUUGUGUGUGCCCUAUGCCUCACUGCUGGGGCCGCGCACCCAGACCCAGCCAGGAGGGAGGAUGGGUGCCUCGGUCGCUCUGGGGGCAGUUUAGAUGCUGUGAAAUUAAACCCGUUCUAAGUGUACUUGUUUGAAUUAACUGUAUUGUAAUAUUAUUUGUUGAAUGUAGUAAUUAGGUAUUUAUGAAUAUAUUGCUGUAAUUUCUGACAUCCCAAAAAUAAAAUCUUCCUAAAUCAUGUUAAGAC
rnacentral:lncRNA from 1 species